rnacentral:misc_RNA from 1 species
UCUCCGUUGGUGAACCAGCGGAGGGAUCAUUACCGAAGUUACCUUCAAAACCCACUGUGAACCUUACCUCUUGCCGCGUUGUCUCGGCGGGAGGCGGUGUGCGUCGCGCGCCCUAGCGGGCCGCGCCGCUCCCGUCCCCGCCGGCAGCGCCAAACUCUAAAUGCACAGCGGACUGUACGUUCUGAUUAACAAAAAAAAACAAGUUAAAACUUUCAACAACGGAUCUCUUGGUUCUG